UACGGGGGGGGGCAAGCGUUUGUUCGGAAUUACUGGGCGUAAAGGGCUCGUAGGCGGCCAACUAAGUCCGACGUGAAAUCCCCAGGCUUAACCUGGGAACUGCGUCGGAUACUGGAUGGCUUGAAUUCGGGAGAGGGAUGCAGAAUUCCAGGUGUAGCGGUGAAAUGCGUAGAUAUCUGGAGGAAUACCGGUGGCGAAGGCGGCAUCCUGGACCGACAUUGACGCUGAUGAGCGAAAGCUAGGGGAGCAAACGGG
rnacentral:rRNA from 1 species